AUGGCUUCCGGCGGGAACCCGCAGUUCCGGUACACCCAGCCUCCAUCGAAGGUGAUACACGUGAGGAACCUGCCGUGGGAGUGCACCGACGAGGAGCUGACCGAGCUGGGGAGCCUCUUCGGCAAGGUCGUCAAUACCAAGUGCAACGUCGGCGCCAACAGGAACCAGGCGUUCAUCGAAUUCGCUGACCAAAAUCAGGCAAUUGCUAUGAUAUCAUACUAUGCAUCAUCAGCGGAGCCAGCACAGGUAAGAGGCAAGAAUGUGUACCUUCAGUACUCCAAUAGACAGGAGAUUGUCAACAGCAAGAAUACCGGGGAUGCUGCAGGCAAUGUUUUGCUAGUGACAAUGGAGGGUGUUCUGCCAGAUGCUGUCAGCAUAGAUGUUCUACACUUGGUAUUUUCUGCUUUUGGAUAUGUUCACAAGAUUGCUACCUUUGAAAAGGCAUCUGGUUAUCAGGCGUUGAUACAAUUUUCUGAUGCUGAGACCGCGUCAUCUGCAAAAGCUGCUCUGGAUGGCAGAUGCAUUCCUAGCUACUUGCUUCCAGAACUUGAUGGGUCCUGCACUUUAAGAAUAAAUUAUUCAGCACACUCUGUUCUAAAUGUCAAGUUUCAGAGUCAUAGGAGUAGGGAUUAUACAAACCCAUACCUUCCCCUUGCACCUUCUGCUAUUGAUGGAUCUGGAGUGGCCCAGGAUGGGAAGAAGGAGGAGCCAGAGAGCAAUGUUCUGCUUGCGUCAGUUGAGAAUAUGCAGUAUAUUGUUACAAUUGAUGCUCUUCACGAGGUCUUCUCUGCUUUUGGGUUUGUACAAAAGAUUGCUAUUUUUGAGAAGAACUCUGGCUUCCAUGCACUAAUCCAGUAUCCAGAUAUUCAAACUGCAGUUAAAGCAAGAGAAGCAUUAGAAGGACACAGCAUCUAUGAAGGCGGAUAUUGCAAGCUUCACCUCGCGUUUUCACGCCAUACCGAUCUUAAUGUUAGGAUCAACAAUGAGCGAGGUCGAGAUUACACUGGGGGGAACAGUGCUCCAGCUAACCAUGAACCUUCCAUUCUUGGCCCUCAGCCAAUUGGCUCUACUGCGCCACCAUACAGCAGUGCUCCUUCCGCAGCAGCUGACGUAGUAGCAGCACCAGGGACUACAUCUAUUCUGGCAACACCAGGAGCACCAUCCCUUCCUUCCAGUCAGCCACACCCACAAGCCGCUUCAGGUGGACCUCAACAGUACGCCAGCCAGGGAGUCCUACAAGGCUAUGGAGCCCCAGGGUUCCCGCAAGGCCCAAAUCAAGCUCAAAUGUCACAGCAUUCAGGCCAAGGAAAUCAACAGAUGCCCAACCAUCAAGCGAUGUCGUUCCCUGGCCAUGGAAGGCAGCAGCUACCUCCAGGUCCUCAAAUGAUGCAAGGUCCAGGUUAUAGAGGCCCGCCGUUUCCACAAGGUCAUAUGCAAUCAAUGCCGCAGUUUCCAGUAUAUGGCAAUCAGCAGUUUCCUCCUGGUGCCGGGCCGCAGAUGAUGGGCUUCCCCGGACAGGGAGGUCAGUAUCCUCCAUUUGGUAGGCCGCUUCAUCCGUAUAACCGUUAG
rnacentral:rRNA from 1 species